GUCUAGCCCUGAUUGAUGCGACAUCCUUUUUUAUUUUCAAAAAAGAUAUAGCGGAAAGCAGGAUCUAGC
rnacentral:sRNA from 1 species